AGACAUGUAUGGGUCAACUUCUUUAAAAUCUGUCACCUCACUGAUUGCCAGGGUCGAUUCCACUGAUCUGGCUCAUUAGAUGGCUGUCCCCUUUUUUCCUUCACCACUCCAUAUGCAACCUUCCCCAGUAUGUGACCUGAUGCAAAAGGGUAACCUUGCCCAUAGGGGAAGCCUUUUCUUGGGUCAAGAGUAUAUGAGUAGGUGCACUAGCAUGCUAGGACCUCCAGACAAGCUCUCAAAAUCCACUUUUAGGAGAAUGUAGGGUAGUCAAGCUUCCGGGGCUCCAAAUCUAUCCAAAUGAGGCCCUGUGUGAGGAAGUGUCUCUUU
rnacentral:snRNA from 1 species